CCUACGGGUGGCUGCAGUGGGGAAUUUUGGACAAUGGGCGCAAGCCUGAUCCAGCCAUUCCGCGUGCAGGACGAAGGCCUUCGGGUUGUAAACUGCUUUUGUACGGAACGAAAGGGCUCUGGUUAAUACCUGGGGCAUAUGACGGUACCGUAAGAAUAAGCACCGGCUAACUACGUGCCAGCAGCCGCGGUAAUACGUAGGGUGCAAGCGUUAAUCGGAAUUACUGGGGGUGAAGCUGUCGCAGGCGGGUGAAAGCCCCGGGCUCAACCUGGGAACGGCCUUUGUGACUGCAAAGCUGGAGUGCGGCAGAGGGGGAUGGAAUUCCGCGUGUAGCAGUGAAAUGCGUAGAUAUGCGGAGGAACACCGAUGGCGAAGGCAAUCCCCUGGGCCUGCACUGACGCUCAUGCACGAAAGCGUGGGGAGCAAACAGGAUUAGAUACCCCUGUAGUC
rnacentral:rRNA from 1 species